rnacentral:snRNA from 1 species
UUGCUUUGGCAACAUUAUUAAAAUUAGAAAGAGAGAGAGAAAAUUAUCAUGGUUUCUGCACUAGGAUGACACACAAAUUUGGUGAAGGGUUCCAUUAUUUU